AACGAACGCUGGCGGCAGGCUUAACACAUGCAAGUCGAGCGCCCCGCAAGGGGAGCGGCAGACGGGUGAGUAACGCGUGGGAAUCUACCCAUCUCUACGGAAUAACGCAUGGAAACGUGUGCUAAUACCGUAUACGUCCUUCGGGAGAAAGAUUUAUCGGAGAUGGAUGAGCCCGCGUUGGAUUAGGUAGUUGGUGGGGUAAAGGCCUACCAAGGCGACGAUACAUAGCUGGUCUGAGAGGAUGAUCAGCCACACUGGGACUGAGACACGGCCCAGACUCCUACGUGAGGCAGCAGUGGGGAAUAGUGGACAAUGGGCGCAAGCCUGAUCCAGCCAUGCCGCGUGAGUGAUGAAGGCCCUAGGGUUGUAAAGCUCUUUCACCGGUGAAGAUAAUGACGGUAACCGGAGAAGAAGCCCCGGCUAACUUCGUGCCAGCCGCCGCAGUAACAC
rnacentral:rRNA from 1 species